CUGGAACCCUGCACACGGUCGGCGGGGCUAUAAAUGGUGCAGCCGUGUGGAAAACGGUGUUGGGGUUACUCGAAGAAUCAAAGAAAGAUGUUUGUCGCAUGUUCCAGCAGUUCCACUUCCAGGCAUUUGCCUGAAAGAAUUCCGAGCAGGGUCUUGAGGAGACGUCUGCACCCGCUGUUCACUGCAGCGUUAUUCACGAUAGCUAAGAAGCAGAAGCAACCCAAGCGCGGUGGACAGAUGAACGUGUUACGAGAAACGGCAUGUCAUUCAGCCUCAAAAUGAGAAACGGUUCUGACACCUGCUGCAACUCGGAUGAGCCUGGAGGACGCGAUGCUCAAUGGAAUGAGCCAGUCGCAAAAAGACAAAUCACGUACGACUCCACUGGUGGAAGAGAGCUCUGGACGUGGAGGAUGGAACACUAGGAAUGUAUUAACUGCUACUGAACCAUGUAGUUAACAAUGGUUAAGACGCCACGUUCCUCUCCGGAAUCUGCUUUAUCGUCACAUCCUUAGCUCUUUGGCGAAGUUCAGAACAAACAAAGGACGUUGAUGUGACACCGUUGUGCCAAAUCUGGCGAAAUCUCAGUGGCAGGGUUGGAGCAACGGUCCCUGCAACCGUCUACACCUUAUGUGGAGGCGGAAGUCCUCUCUGAAGGUCAGUGUCAAUGCCCAAGGAGAGACGGGUAACGUGGCCAAACCUGUGAUCGCACCUGCUGCGUGCUGUGAUCCCGUCCGACACAUUUAGUGGGGAUGAUACUCCGAUUCCUUCAGCUCAUUGGGAUUUACUGGCUUUUUACUACAAUAAAA